AAACCACAAAGGCAUUAAGCUAACCGGCAGGAGAAAUAACUAGGCUAACAACUACACCGAGUGGAGCGUGCGCGGCUCCUUAAGCCCGCAGAGGUAACUCCUGUGCGAUGAUUGUUUUCUCCGACGCUGCUUAUUACUUACUGGCGUAGGAAAUUCAAGUCUCUCUAUGCAUUUGUUAAAGGGUUCAAUAAUGAGCUCAGCGACAAGAUCGUGGGUGUGCUUCUGAAGCCAAGCUAUGAUAUCAGCGAAUACGAUAUCCACAUUCUCAUCGGUCUCUCCUGCUGUCAGUCCAUGCCACAUUCCAGGGUACAG
rnacentral:misc_RNA from 1 species